UGACCAUAUCACAUUGAAACACUUGUUUUUGUCCAAUUACCAAAGUUAAGCAACAUUGAGCCUAGUCAGUACCAAGAUGGGUGACUGCUUGGGAAUACCAAGUGUUGUAAG